GAGUUUGAUCAUGGCUCAGAUUGAACGCUGGCGGCAGGCCUAACACAUGCAAGUCGAGCGGUAGAGAGAAGCUUGCUUCUCUUGAGAGCGGCGGACGGGUGAGUAAUGCCUAGGAAUCUGCCUGGUAGUGGGGGAUAACGCUCGGAAACGGACGCUAAUACCGCAUACGUCCUACGGGAGAAAGCAGGGGACCUUCGGGCCUUGCGCUAUCAGAUGAGCCUAGGUCGGAUUAGCUAGUUGGUGAGGUAAUGGCUCACCAAGGCGACGAUCCGUAACUGGUCUGAGAGGAUGAUCAGUCACACUGGAACUGAGACACGGUCCAGACUCCUACGGGAGGCAGCAGUGGGGAAUAUUGGACAAUGGGCGAAAGCCUGAUCCAGCCAUGCCGCGUGUGUGAAGAAGGUCUUCGGAUUGUAAAGCACUUUAAGUUGGGAGGAAGGGCAGUAAAUUAAUACUUUGCUGUUUGACGUUACCGACAGAAUAAGCACCGGCUAACUCUGUGCCAGCC
rnacentral:rRNA from 1 species